rnacentral:rRNA from 1 species
CCUACGGGGGGCUGCAGUGAGGAAUAUUGGUCAAUGGGCUUACGCCUGAACCAGCCAAGUCGCGUGAGGGAAGACUGCCCUCUGGGUUGUAAACCUCUUUUGUCAGGGAGCAACGCCGGCUACGUGUAGCCGGACUGAGAGUACCUGAAGAAAAAGCAUCGGCUAACUCCGUGCCAGCAGCCGCGGUAAUACGGAGGAUGCGAGCAUUAUCCGGAUUGAUUGGGUUUAAAGGGUGCGUAGGCGGAAUGCCAAGUCAGCGGUAAAAUCGCGGGGCUCAACCUCGCUCCGCCGUUGAAACUGGCGUUCUUGAGUGGGCGAGAGGUAUGCAGAAUGCGUGGUGUAGCGGUGAAAUGCAUAGAUAUCACGCAGAACUCCGAUUGCGAAGGCAGCAUACCGGCGCCCAACUGACGCUGAAGCACGAAAGCGUGGGUAUCGAACAGGAUUAGAUACCCCGGUAGUC